AUCACCCGCGCUACGCUGCAGUAU
rnacentral:siRNA from 1 species